rnacentral:rRNA from 1 species
ACCGGCGCACGGGUGCGUAACGCGUAUGCAUCUACCUUUCACAGAGGGAUAGCCCAGAGAAAUUUGGAUUAAUACCUCAUAGUUUGGCAUCAAUAAAGUCACAACGGUGAAAGAUGAGCAUGCGUCCCAUUAGCUAGUUGGUAAGGUAACGGCUUACCAAGGCAACGAUGGGUAGGGGUCCUGAGAGGGAGAUCCCCCACACUGGUACUGAGACACGGACCAGACUCCUACGGGAGGCAGCAGUGAGGAAUAUUGGACAAUGGGCGCAAGCCUGAUCCAGCCAUGCCGCGUGCAGGAUGACGGUCUAUGGAUUGUAAACUGCUUUUAUACGAGAAGAAACAUCCCUACGUGUAGGGACUUGACGGUAUCGUAAGAAUAAGGAUCGGCUAACUCCGUGCCAGCAGCCGCGGUAAUACGGAGGAUCCAAGCGUUAUCCGGAAUCAUUGGGUUUAAAGGGUCCGUAGGCGGUUUAGUAAGUCAGUGGUGAAAGCCCAUCGCUCAACGGUGGAACGGCCAUUGAUACUGCUAGACUUGAAUUAUUAGGAAGUAACUAGAAUAUGUAGUGUAGCGGUGAAAUGCUUAGAGAUUACAUGGUAUACCAAUUGCGAACGCAGGUUACUACUAUGCAUGACGCUGAAUGACGAAGCGUUGGUAGCGGACAGAUUUAGAUACCCUGGUAGUCAACGC